CGCACCUUGCGCUCUCUGGUAUUCCGGAGAGCAUGCCUGUUUGAGUGUCAUGAACUCUUCAACCCCCCAAUUCCUUGUUUGAACUGGGACGGCUUGGAUUCUGAGCGUUUGCUGGCCUUUUCGGAGGCGGAGCUCGUUCGUAAUACAUUAGCAACUCAAUUUCGAGUGUUCGGAUUGACUCGGCGUAAUAGACUAUUCGCUGAGGACUACCUUUCGGGGUGGCCGAACCUUGAAGUAGAAGCUCAUAACUCUACAUUUGAAAGUCAAAUCACCUAAGAUUAGACCUCAGAUCAGGCAGGAUUACCCGCUGAACUUAA
rnacentral:misc_RNA from 1 species